CAUGUUCACACUUGAAAGUACAGAAUGUGCUCCUUAGCUCAAACGGCCGCCUCGAGCCACGUCUUGACGACAGACGGCAAUAUGAUCAUAGGUUAGGAAGAAGACGGGUUUCAAAGAGUAGAGUCUGGUCGCCGCCCGUCACGGCUUCACCUCGAUCAGCCGUGAACUGAACACCGCAGACAAACACCAACAGACCUUCAGGAGCGUCUCGUAAAUCGCUUGGAUAGAAAAUAUUACAGCAAUAACUACAAAGCUCACGCUCUUUAUUUAGUCAACGCCUCGCAGCGUUUAAAAGAUGGAAAUCACUGACAUGUUCUUUCCACCCGGUGCUCCUGGGUUUCAUAACAGCCACAGGUGAAGAAGAUUCUACAUAUUUACAACCAAACGCCACAUCAUUCAAAGAUUAUUGAGGAUUACUGUUUCAUCUUCAUACCAGACAGCCUGAAACAAGAACGACAGGAGAAAGAGGACACUGAAAGAUCCAGAAACGCCAGCGAGCUGUUAAAGCUGUCUAGGAGACAUGUUUCACCUUCACGUCUUAUCGUCACAUCAAAUAAAAGAGUUUACAUGUGUCAUUGGGGACGACUAGUGUUAAUUAUUCCUCCUCAUAUAUUGGGUACAGUCAUGAAAUGUAUAAAAUGCUUUGAAAAAAAAUCCUUAUCCAAACAAAGAUGAAAUGUUUUUUCUCUAAAAACAAUCAAUAACAAUCAAUACUGACAUCUAGCUUCCUGUAUGCCACUAUUUCCAGCCAUUCUUGCAUUAGUUUGGUGUGGAGUGCUUUAGACAGUAACAAUAUUGUGCAAUAAAAACAUGACUACAUGA